AAGACAAGCACAAGGUCAGAUAGCAUCCAUUAAUUGUUUUUUUCUUUGGUACUGGGGAUCAAACUCGGGUCCUCCCCGGCCCCAUCCAUCCAAUAUUUAAAGAAGAUAUAAUAUUAAUUUUCCUAAAACUUGCAGAAAACAGAAGAACAAUACCUGAUUAAUUCCAUGAGGACUGUAUAGUAGGCAGAAUUCCAAAGCUAUCUCUUCAAGGUUCCUCUUUCCUAGUCAGUCGGGUGGCAGUCAAGGAACCGCGGCCGAAACUGUGGGCGCUGAGAAGCAGCCGAUCCGCACCGACCCUCGCCGGAUUCGGGCUGUUCGCCCCGCCCCGAAGCCCUCCCGGGCGCGUGCGCGCCAACCAGCCAGAGCGUAGGGCACGUGCUCGCGCCAGCGCGAACCCGGGGCGCCGAGCUCGAGGCAGUUACAGCCAACCGGCGCGCGAGCGAGGAUCAAGCGCGAGGCUGCCCACGCGCCAGACACCUUCGAGUGGAAGGCGCGGGGCGGGAGGCGGGCUGUAGCCGGUCCAGUUACCGCUCCUCUCAGGCGCUCGGCUAGCGCGCCUGCGUUGUGGGAUCUCGGGCGUUGCCGAAUGUUGGGAAUUACCGAAAGUCUAGAAGAGUGGGACACACUAAAUGGUAGGCGGUACUGGUGGGACGCGCUCUCUGGUUGGAGUACCGAACCUCCCAAGGCCAGCAGUGAGGCGGGCCGGGGCGGGCUGGGCUGAGGAAAUAGCGCCUGCCAGAGCGGAGGGCCGAGCUGCAACUGACGGAAAGAGCCGAAACUCCCCCGGAGGCGAACGAAGGUGGGGGCGGGGACCUCACGAGCGGCUUCUGCGCCACGUCACCGUUUGGGGUCUCUCAGACCGCCCUCCACUGAGCUGCUCACGAUGACGCCCCGAAGACUAUGCCUCUCCCUUUCGCCACCUUCCAGACCCAAGUUUUGCUCCAGAAGGUUCUUUUCAAAGCUACCAGUUUGGGCCGCAGGUUUAUCUCAGUGGCGCCAGCGCCUGCCUGGCAAGCGCAAGGUCCUGAGUUCGACCUGGGUUCCGCAAAAAACAAAACAAAACAAAACAAAAAAACGCAAGCAAAGCCAUCAACUUCGGGAAACGCAGAACCUCCGGGGAAUACUGGAGGCGGACGCACGGCCGACGAAGAGGAUGCGCUGGCCAGCCCCAGAAUAAGUUCGUCUCGGGGGCAAGCUGAGAGUUCUCUGCCCAGUCGGGGUUCGCCAGACGCACUGCCCAAACCGUUCGACUUGGUGAAGGACUUCUGAUCGCCCAGCUGUCGGCUUCCCUCUGUGCCGCUGAUCCCUCCGUCUUCAUAGAUUCCCAACCUCCAGCAUCCCCAGAGCCGAACCACCUCUACUGUCUGUGCCUGUGGGAGGCGCUCGCCUUACAGUCCACUGGUCGGUGUCCGUUGGGAGGCGCUGAAGGCUGAGAUUCAGUCUGCAUUGAAAAGAUGCAUUAGAGUCUGUCCCCACCAGACCUUUUGAGGCCAACCAAUGGGGCUGUGAAAAGGCACCAAGAAGCCCUAGAGUGUAUAAAUGGGUAGACACCACAGACACAGUGUAGUUUUAUUUUUCACGUUUUGUUAUUUCAGUCACAGUGCAUGUAAUAGAGUAGUAGUACAGUAGAUAUAUACCGAGCCAUCUGAUCUUUGUGGUUCUUAACUUUGCAUGCAAUAGGGAGAGGGUCAAAAUUUGGAGCCCAUUGACCCUGAUUCUACUCCAACAUUUUUUUUUUUUUUUUUUGGUCAAAACCUCACUUAGUUCAGGCUGGCCUUGAACUCAUGUAGUCCAGGCAGGCCUUAAACUCACGGAGAGCCACCUGCUUCAGCCUGCCAAGUGCUGGGACUACAGAUGUGUUAGCACACCCAGAUCCAAUAGUUUAACAGAUCUGAAGAAACAAGGGCAGCACAUUGUGGUUCAUACCUGUAAUCUCAGUACUUAGGUGAUUUAGGCAGGACGAUCACAAGUUCAAGACUAGCCUAGAUUUGGUGACAUCUAGUCUCAAAAAUGUCUUGGGAUAUAGCUCAGUGGUAAAGUGCCCCUGGAUCCAUUCCUCAGUACCUGAAAAGGAAAGGAGGGGGUAAGGGAGAGAAAGGGAAGCAAAAAACAAAGUCAUCAGCCAGCCAGUUAGUUAUGGUAGUAGACCAGGUGUCUGCUUACUAGUGGAUCUUCUUUCAAAGACUCAAAUAGAAACCAUCCAUUGAAAUAUCUGCUCUCAUUCCACCUUGCCCCAGAAAGAAUGGCUGCUAUCAAGAAAUCAACCAAUAACAAAUGCUGGCGGGGGUGUGGGGAGAAAGGAACCCUUCUCCAUUGCUGGAGGGAGUGCAGACUGGUGCGACCACUAUGGAAAUCAGUAUGGAGAUACCUCAAAGAGCUAGGACCAGAGGUUCCAUUUGACCCAGCUAUUCCCCUGCUGGGUAUCUUCCCAAAAGAAUUAAAAGAAUCAUACCACAGAGAUAUAUGUGCACCCAUGUUUAUAGCGGCAGUUUGUAAUAGCUAAAGCUUGGAAACAGCUGAAGUGCCCAUCAACUGGAAACUGGAUAAAGAAGAUGUGGGGUUUUUUUAUAAAGUGGAGUACUACUCAGCCAUAAAGAAUGAGAAACGAGUCAUUUAUAGCAAAAUGGAUGCAUAUUGAGGCCAUACUCUUAAGUGAAAUAAAUAGGACACACGUGUAAAUACCGAAUAGUUUCUCUAGUAUGAGAAACUGAAAGUGUAAAUAAGGGUUAAAAUGAUUAAAAUGAAUAAUUGAUAAUUUGAAAUAGGAA
ensembl:lncRNA